AGUGAACGCUGGCGGUAGGCCUAACACAUGCAAGUCGAACGGCAGCACAGUAAGAGCUUGCUCUUACGGGUGGCGAGUGGCGGACGGGUGAGGAAUACAUCGGAAUCUACUUUUUCGUGGGGGAUAACGUAGGGAAACUUACGCUAAUACCGCAUACGACCUACGGGUGAAAGCAGGGGAUCUUCGGACCUUGCGCGAUUGAAUGAGCCGAUGUCGGAUUAGCUAGUUGGCGGGGUAAAGGCCCACCAAGGCGACGAUCCGUAGCUGGUCUGAGAGGAUGAUCAGCCACACUGGAACUGAGACACGGUCCAGACUCCUACGGGAGGCAGCAGUGGGGAAUAUUGGACAAUGGGCGCAAGCCUGAUCCAGCCAUGCCGCGUGGGUGAAGAAGGCCUUCGGGUUGUAAAGCCCUUUUGUUGGGAAAGAAAAGCAGCAGGUUAAUACCCCGCUGUUCUGACGGUACCCAAAGAAUAAGCACCGGCUAACUUUGUG
rnacentral:rRNA from 1 species